rnacentral:rRNA from 1 species
GACGAAGGAUGCAAGCGUUAUCCGGAUUCAUUGGGUUUAAAGGGAGCGUAGGGGGCCUUAUAAGUCAGUGGUGAAAUCUCUGGGCUUAACCCAGAAAUUGCCAUUGAUACUGUAGGGCUUGAGUAUAGUUGCCGUUGGCGGAAUAUGACAUGUAGUGGUGAAAUACAUAGAGAUGUCAUAGAACACCGAUUGCGAAGGCAGCUAACGAAACUAUAACUGACACUGAGGCUCGAAAGUGCGGGGAUCAAACAGG